GACGAACGCUGGCGGCGUGCUUAACACAUGCAAGUCGAACGGAAAGGCCCUGCUUUUGUGGGGUGCUCGAGUGGCGAACGGGUGAGUAACACGUGAGUAACCUGCCCUUGACUUUGGGAUAACUUCAGGAAACUGGGGCUAAUACCGGAUAGGAGCUCCUGCUGCAUGGUGGGGGUUAGAAAGUUUCGGCGGUUGGGGAUGGACUCGCGGCUUAUCAGCUUGUUGGUGGGGUAGUGGCUUACCAAGGCUUUGACGGGUAGCCGGCCUGAGAGGGUGACCGGCCACAUUGGGACUGAGAUACGGCCCAGACUCCUACGGGAGGCAGCAGUGGGGAAUAUUGCACAAUGGGCGGAAGCCUGAUGCAGCAACGCCGCGUGCGGGAUGAAGGCCUUCGGGUUGUAAACCGCUUUCGCCUGUGACGAAGCGUGAGUGACGGUAAUGGGUAAAGAAGCACCGGCUAACUACGUG
rnacentral:rRNA from 1 species